UACGUAGGGUGCAGGCGUUAAUCGGAAUUACUGGGCGUAAAGCGUGCGCAGGCGGUUUGCUAAGACAGGUGUGAAAUCCCCAGGCUUAACCUGGGAACUGCGUCGGAUACUGGUUGGCUUGAAUCCGGGAGAGGGAUGCGGAAUUCCAGGUGUAGCGGUGAAAUGCGUAGAUAUCAGGAGGAACACCUGCGGUGUAGACGGCUUUCUGGACCAUAACUGACGCUGAGAUACGAAAGCGUGGGUAGCAAACAGG
rnacentral:rRNA from 1 species